rnacentral:rRNA from 2 species
CAAAGGAAUUGACGGGACCGCACAAGCGGUGGAUGAUGUGGAUUAAUUCGAUGCAACGCGAAAACCUUACCUACCCUUGACAUGUCUGGAAGGCCGAAGAGAUUUGGCUGUGCUCGCAAGAGAACCGGAACGCAGGUGCUGCAUGGCUGUCGUCAGCUCGUGUCGUGAGAUGUUGGGUUAAGUCCCGCAACGAGCGCAACCCUUGUCAUUAGUUGCUACGAAAGGGCACUCUAAUGAGACUGCCGGUGACAAACCGGAGGAAGGUGGGGAUGACGUCAAGUCCUCAUGGCCCUUAUGGGUAGGGCUUCACACGUCAUACAAUGGUCGGGACAGAGGGUCGCCAACCCGCGAGGGGGAGCCAAUCCCAGAAACCCGAUCGUAGUCCGGAUUGCAGGCUGCAACUCGCCUGCAUGAAGUCGGAAUCGCUAGUAAUCGCGGAUCAGCAUGUCGCGGUGAAUACGUUCCCGGGUCUU